UACGUAGGGGGCAAGCGUUGUCCGGAUUUAUUGGGCGUAAAGAGCGUGUAGGCGGCCAGAUAGGUCAGCUGUGAAAACUCGAGGCUCAACCUCGAGACGUCGGUUGAAACCAUCUGGCUAAGAGUCCGGAAGAGGAGAGUGGAAUUCCCGGUGUAGCGGUGAAAUGCGCAGAUAUCGGGAAGAACACCCGUGGCGAAGGCGGCUCUCUGGGACGGUACUGACGCUGAGACGCGGAAAAGCGUGGGGAGCGAACAGGA
rnacentral:rRNA from 1 species